AUUGAACGCUGGCGGCAUGCCUUACACAUGCAAGUCGAACGGCAGCACGGGGGCAACCCUGGUGGCGAGUGGCGAACGGGUGAGUAAUACAUCGGAACGUGCCCUGAAGUGGGGGAUAACGUAGCGAAAGUUACGCUAAUACCGCAUAUUCUGUGAGCAGGAAAGCAGGGGAUCGCAAGACCUUGCGCUUUAGGAGCGGCCGAUGUCGGAUUAGCUAGUUGGUGAGGUAAAGGCUCACCAAGGCGACGAUCCGUAGCGGGUCUGAGAGGAUGAUCCGCCACACUGGGACUGAGACACGGCCCAGACUCCUACGGGAGGCAGCAGUGGGGAAUUUUGGACAAUGGGCGAAAGCCUGAUCCAGCCAUGCCGCGUGAGUGAAGAAGGCCUUCGGGUUGUAAAGCUCUUUCGGCGGGGAAGAAAUCGCAUUCUCUAAUACAGGAUGUGGAUGACGGUAC
rnacentral:rRNA from 1 species